AAACAAAUAUGAACGAAGGCAACAAUUUCCCUAUUGUAUUAAGAAUUUUACUAUUACCUGAUCCCACCUUCAAUAUUUUUGCACAGAGAACACCAGAUACAAGAUUCUAUGAGCAAUUAACUCUUUUUCAUGACGUUUUUCGUUUACAGUAGUAUGGACAAUAUAUAUGUAUAUACUCUCUACUCUGUCUUGUCUUCUUCUACGUCACCACCAUUAGAUGUCCCAUCUCCACCAGGCGUUGAUCUCACUUCGAAUGGAAUUCUUACAUCCUUUGAUGGCAGAGGGGAGGGUUUUAUGAGUGUCAAGGUGAUAUCCUUAUCAAACUCUUCACUAUCAUCAGAAUAGGCAUAUCUCAUGGAGUUUUGA
rnacentral:misc_RNA from 1 species